GGGAAUGGGUUUGGCAAAAUUAGCAGGGAAAGAAGACCCUGUUGAGCUUGAAUCUAGUCUGAAUUUGUGAAAUGACUUGAGAGGUGUAGAAUAAGUGGGAGCCGUUUUCGGUGCAAGUGAAAUACCACUACUUUUAACGUUAUUUUACUUAUUUUGUGGGGCGGAGACGGGGAAUUUCCCCUGUUUUUGGCCUUAAGACACAUUUCGACGGGUCGAUCCAGGCAGAAUACAUUUUCAGGUGGGGAGUUUGGCUGGGGCAGCACAUCUGUUAAAAUAUAACGCAGGUGUCCUAAGAUGAGCUCAACGAGAACAAAAAUCUUGUGUGGAACAAAAGGGUAAAAGCUCAUUUGAUUUUGAUUUUUAGUACGAAUACAAACCAUGAAAGCGUGGCCUAUCGAUCCUUUAGACUUUAAGAAUUUGAAGAUAGAGGUGUCAUAAAAAUUACCAUAGGGAUAACUGGCUUGUGGCAGCCAAGCGUUCAUAGAGAUGUUGCUUUUUGAUCCUCCGAUGUCGGCUCUUCCUAUCAUUGUGAAGUAGAAUUCACCAAGUGUUGGAUUGUUCACCCACCAAUAGGGAACGUGAGUUGGGUUUAGACCGUCAUGAGAUAGGUUAUUUUUACCCUACUGAUGAAUCGUGCCACAAUAGUAAUUCAACUUAGUACGAGAGGAACCAUUGAUUCACACAAUUGGUCAUCGCGCUUGGUUGAAAAUCCAGUGGCGCGAAGCUACCGUAUGUCGGAUUAUGACUGAAUGCCUCUAAGUCAGAAUCCACGCUAGAAGCAACGCUUGUCACUCCUCGACUGUAUCUUAACCUGUAGUAGGGGUGUCGCUUCAGCACCCCCAGGGGCUUGUGUCACUUGCGAACCUCGGUCGGGAAGCGUCUCAGUCGGGGCAGCUUUGAAGUUCAAUUUCAAAUGGUCGUUGAGAGGAAUCCUUUGUAGUCGACUUAAAUACAUGACAGGGUAUUGUAAGUGGAAGAGUCACCUUGCUGCCAUGAUCCACUAAGAUUCAUCCCUUCGUCACCUUGAUUCAG
rfam:Picea glauca, whole genome shotgun sequence.